AUGAGUUCUCUAGUAUGGAACUGCUGGGGGGGGGGGGACCACCGGACAGUUCGCGAGGUGUUGGCCCUCUGCAAAGCCAAUUCCCCGGGGCUGGUUUUUCUUUCUGAAACUAGACAAGCCUCAAGCAAGAUGGAAGAUCAAUAUAGACUGUAGAUGAGAGGAUUUGUGGGCGUAUCCAGAGAUGGGCUCAGUGGGGGCCUGGCCCUCAAUUGGGACGAAAAUUUACAAGUGACAGUUUUGGACUCGUAUGCACGGUAUAUAGACAUGUGAAUUGUAGAUGGAGCAAAUGAUAAGACAUGGAGGAUGACCUAUGUGUACGGAGAACCAUGGGUGGAGAACAGACACCGUAUG
rnacentral:rRNA from 1 species